UCCUGUAAAUUGGGAGGUGGGGCCUUAAUGGACUGUACUAGUGUGUCCAGUACAACCCACAGAUCCCUGACUGGAUUGAGAUUUUGGGAAGGUCCAAAAAAUCUGGGAGACACCCACGAUAUAUACGUGAUGCAUGAAAAAGUAACAUUAUUUGACAUAAAUGGCUGGAUCCGAGUUUUCAACGAAAAAACAUUGUGCAGUGCACCACACGUCCUCCACCAGCUUGCCUCCUUCCCAAAGUGCAUCUUGACAUCUCUUGCAUAGGCAGCGGUGGCGUCAACCAGUUUCCUCAAACGGCCGAAGAUGGAAUGCACAGUCUUAUGAAGGAAGUCAUUUGGGGUAUUUCUGAGAACCUCCUGAAGUCCUCCAGUGUGCGAGGCUUUGUCCUGUACAGCUCCUCCUUUGCGCAGCCCCACAGGAAAAAAAUCACACGGAGUAAGAUCUGGACUUCUUGGAGGCCGUUCAUGAGUUGUGCAUCGCCCCAGCCAACGUCCUGGAAAAUGCUGAUCUAACCACGCCACCGAAGUAAGAGCCAAAUGGGGUGGUGCACCAACGGGUGGUGCUCCAGUGAUACUACAAGUUCUACAGCCACUAAAUAUUGCCCAGUUCAUUUUCAUCUACUCUGUAUAUGCAAAUACAUACAGUAUACAGCACACUGUAUAUACAGAGUAAGGCUUAAAGAAUCAAAAGGUUGUUAAUAUUUCUGUGCGAAAUGGCAUAUCACAAAAGUGUUUAUAGAAAAAACAUUCGAGGAAUUGUUGGGUUUACACACUCAUUUUUUCUUAAACAUAUAGAUAUUAUGUAUUUCUAAUGCUGAGUUUCAAAUGAUAAAAAAUAAUACAAAAAUAAUACAAAUAAUAAAUGAUUUGCAUGAUUUAUCUGUCACGCUCUGAUAUACUUGCUGG